UACGUAGGGGGCGAGCGUUGUCCGGAGUUACUGGGCGUAAAGGGCGCGCAGGCGGUCUUGAAAGUCAGGCGUGAAAGCCCCGGGCUUAACCUGGGAAUUGCGCUUGAUACUCUGAGACUGGAGUACGGGAGAGGAGAGUGGAAUUCCCAGUGUAGAGGUGAAAUUCGUAGAUAUUGGGAAGAACACCAGUGGCGAAGGCGGCUCUCUGGACCGUAACUGACGCUGAGGCGCGAAAGCGUGGGGAGCAAACAGG
rnacentral:rRNA from 1 species